rnacentral:rRNA from 1 species
AGAGUUUGAUCAUGGCUCAGAUUGAACGCUGGCGGCAGGCCUAACACAUGCAAGUCGAGCGGUAGCACAGAGAGCUUGCUCUCGGGUGACGAGCGGCGGACGGGUGAGUAAUGUCUGGGAAACUGCCUGAUGGAGGGGGAUAACUACUGGAAACGGUAGCUAAUACCGCAUAACGUCGCAAGACCAAAGUGGGGGACCUUCGGGCCUCAUGCCAUCAGAUGUGCCCAGAUGGGAUUAGCUAGUAGGUGGGGUAAUGGCUCACCUAGGCGACGAUCCCUAGCUGGUCUGAGAGGAUGACCAGCCACACUGGAACUGAGACACGGUCCAGACUCCUACGGGAGGCAGCAGUGGGGAAUAUUGCACAAUGGGCGCAAGCCUGAUGCAGCCAUGCCGCGUGUGUGAAGAAGGCCUUCGGGUUGUAAAGCACUUUCAGCGGGGAGGAAGGCGUUAAGGUUAAUAACCUUGUCGAUUGACGUUACCCGCAGAAGAAGCACCGGCUAACUCCGUGCCAGCAGCCGCGGUAAUACGGAGGGUGCAAGCGUUAAUCGGAAUUACUGGGCGUAAAGCGCACGCAGGCGGUCUGUCAAGUCGGAUGUGAAAUCCCCGGGCUCAACCUGGGAACUGCAUUCGAAACUGGCAGGCUAGAGUCUUGUAGAGGGGGGUAGAAUUCCAGGUGUAGCGGUGAAAUGCGUAGAGAUCUGGAGGAAUACCGGUGGCGAAGGCGGCCCCCUGGACAAAGACUGACGCUCAGGUGCGAAAGCGUGGGGAGCAAACAGGAUUAGAUACCCUGGUAGUCCACGCCGUAAACGAUGUCGAUUUGGAGGUUGUGCCCUUGAGGCGUGGCUUUCGGAGCUAACGCGUUAAAUCGACCGCCUGGGGAGUACGGCCGCAAGGUUAAAACUCAAAUGAAUUGACGGGGGCCCGCACAAGCGGUGGAGCAUGUGGUUUAAUUCGAUGCAACGCGAAGAACCUUACCUGGUCUUGACAUCCACAGAACUU